UACGUAGGGUGCGAGCGUUGUCCGGCAUUAUUGGGCGUAAAGGUCUCGUAGGCGGUUUGUCGCGUCGGGCGUGAAAUCCACUGGCUUAACUGGUGGCUUGCUUUCGAUACGGGCAGACUGGAGGUAUGCAGGGGAGAACGGAAUUCCUGGUGUAGCGGUGAAAUGCGCAGAUAUCAGGAGGAACACCGGUGGCGAAGGCGGCUCACUGGACCGGAACUGACGCUGAGGCGCGAAAGCGUGGGGAGCAAACAGG
rnacentral:rRNA from 1 species